ACUGAACGCUGGCGGCAUGCUUUACACAUGCAAGUCGAACGGUAACAGGCCGCAAGGUGCUGACGAGUGGCGAACGGGUGAGUAAUGCAUCGGAACGUGCCCAGUCGUGGGGGAUAACGCAGCGAAAGCUGUGCUAAUACCGCAUACGAUCUGUGGAGGAAAGCGGGGCACCUUCGGGCCUCGCGCGAUUGGAGAGGCCGAUGUCAGAUUAGGUAGUUGGUGGGGUAAAGGCUCGCCAAGCCGACGAUCGGUAGCUGGUCUGAGAGGACGACCAGCCACACUGGGACUGAGACACGGCCCAGACUCCUACGGGAGGCAGCAGUGGGGAAUUUUGGACAAUGGGCGCAAGCCUGAUCCAGCAAUGCCGCGUGCAGGAAGAAGGCCUUCGGGUUGUAAACUGCUUUUGUACGGAGCGAAAAGGCUCCCUCUAAUACAGGGGGCUCAUGACGGUACCGUAAGAAUAAGCACCGGCUAACUACGUGCCAGCCGCCGCAGUAACAC
rnacentral:rRNA from 1 species